UACGAAGGGGGCUAGCGUUGCUCGGAAUCACUGGGCGUAAAGGGUGCGUAGGCGGGUCUUUUAAGUCAGGGGUGAAAUCCUGGAGCUCAACUCCAGAACUGCCUUUGAUACUGAGGAUCUUGAGUUCGGGAGAGGUGAGUGGAACUGCGAGUGUAGAGGUGAAAUUCGUAGAUAUUCGCAAGAACACCAGUGGCGAAGGCGGCUCACUGGCCCGAUACUGACGCUGAGGCACGAAAGCGUGGGGAGCAAACAGA
rnacentral:rRNA from 1 species